rnacentral:rRNA from 1 species
GAGUUUGAUCAUGGCUCAGGAUGAACGUUGGCGGCGUGCCUAAUACAUGCAAGUCGAACGGUCUUUUCUAUGGAAGUUUGCUUCCACUGAGAAGAUAGUGGCGAACGGGUGAGUAACACGUGGGUAACCUGCCCAUAAGAGGGGGAUAACAUCCGGAAACGGGUGCUAAUACCGCAUAGUUUUCUUGAUCGCAUGAUCGGGAAAGGAAAGACGGCCUUUGUGCUGUCGCUUAUGGAUGGACCCGCGGCGUAUUAGUUAGUUGGUGAGGUAACGGCUCACCAAGACGAUGAUACGUAGCCGACCUGAGAGGGUGAUCGGCCACAUUGGGACUGAGACACGGCCCAAACUCCUACGGGAGGCAGCAGUAGGGAAUCUUCCGCAAUGGACGAAAGUCUGACGGAGCAACGCCGCGUGAGUGAAGAAGGUUUUCGGAUCGUAAAACUCUGUUGUCAGAGAAGAACAAGUUGGAGAGUAACUGCUCCAGCCUUGACGGUAUCUGACCAGAAAGCCACGGCUAACUACGUGCCAGCAGCCGCGGUAAUACGUAGGUGGCAAGCGUUGUCCGGAUUUAUUGGGCGUAAAGCGAGCGCAGGCGGUUCCUUAAGUCUGAUGUGAAAGCCCACGGCUCAACCGUGGAAGGUCAUUGGAAACUGGGGAACUUGAGUGCAGAAGAGGAGAGUGGAAUUCCAUGUGUAGCGGUGAAAUGCGUAGAUAUAUGGAGGAACACCAGUGGCGAAGGCGACUCUCUGGUCUGUAACUGACGCUGAGGCUCGAAAGCGUGGAGAGCAAACAGGAUUAGAUACCCUGGUAGUCCACGCCGUAAACGAUGAGUGCUAAGUGUUGGAGGGUUUCCACCCUUCAGUGCUGCAGCUAACGCAUUAAGCACUCCGCCUGGGGAGUACGGCCGCAA